UACAUGGGGUGCAAACGUUGCUCGGAAUUAUUGGGCGUAAAGCGCGCGUAGGCGGUUGCCUAAGUCGGACGUGAAAGCCCUCGGCUUAACCGAGGAAGUGCAUCCGAAACUGAGCAGCUAGAGUACGAAAGAGGGUCGCGGAAUUCCCGGUGUAGAGGUGAAAUUCGUAGAUAUCGGGAGGAACACCGGCGGCGAAGGCGGCGACCUGGGUCGAGACUGACGCUGAGGCGCGAAAGCGUGGGGAGCAACAGGAUUAGAGUACCCGUUGUAAGUCCAACGAUG
rnacentral:rRNA from 1 species